AGAAUCAGCGCCUCCGCUCACUGUUCCCUCGCGCCACUGGCAUACGCAGACAAACUGAACUAAUUGAACAUCAUUUGCGAGACACGCAGCACCGUAAACGGGAGCACCGGGAGCGCUCCACACACAAAAGAGCGAUUUCAUGCAAGGCGAGGGGCAACAAUGCCAUCUAAAUUUGGCGACAAAAGAUAAAGAGUCUCGGGACAAUUGGCCUGGCAAACACAGGCCUGUUGACUGAAGCGCGGGGACCUAAUGACCCUCAUGUCACUGGCCCACAGCAGCUACAAGGCAGAAGACAACAGAGUGAGGCCGUCUUGACUAGCAUAAGUGGACGUGUGCUGAUAACACAAGGGGUACCUGAGAGCUCUUUGCUUACCAGAGAGAUUACCGGCCCGCCGAGGCUCAAAGCUGGGGGAUUUGUCAACUUAAUCCCUGUCCCUGCUCUCUUUUUCCCCCCUUCAGCUGUGUUUUACGAUGCUGGAUGGACCCCUACACUAAACACAGAGGUCUUUACGGCAGAAUAAAACAUGGUUAAGUGUAGCACGGUUGAGGUCAAGGUUUCAGUCGUGGAGAACAGGGCUUCGGGAGCCAAUGAAACCGGGAUCUUGCACUCUGACUCCCUGACACGCUCAGUAAUCUAUUCAACUCGUGUACAUCCCGUGAGACAAGUUUAUAUCUACUAAAAUGAUUGUGGUGUCUGUUUGUUUGUUAUUUUGCUACCAAGUUUGAGUCUUUUUUCUUAUUUUUUUCUUUUAUUUCAACGAAUAAAAUGUAGAUAUUACUACAUGUUAUGGUAGUAAACCUU